GCCCGUAUAGCUCAGUGGUAGAGCGCAUCACUCGUAUGGAACCCUCUAGGGUUCAGUGCGCGAUAUGAUGAGGUCGGCGGUUCGAUCCCGCCUGGGGGCA